rnacentral:rRNA from 1 species
UACGGGGGGGGCAAGCGUUGUUCGGAAUUACUGGGCGUAAAGGGUGCGUAGGCGGCUUUCUAAGUCGGAUGUGAAAACUCUGGGCUCAACCCAGAGCCUGCAUCCGAAACUGGAGAGCUAGGGUUCUGGAGGGGAAAGCGGAAUUCCUGGUGUAGCGGUGAAAUGCGCAGAUAUCAGGAAGAACACCCGUGGCGAAGGCGGCUCUCUGGGACGGUACUGA